GCCUCUGUAGAUUAUGGAAAUCGUCUCGAGAUGUUACUUUUCCUUCUCACGUAUUGCGAGAAGACGUGGGUUCGACUCCCACCAGAGGCU